UACGAAGGGGGCAAGCGUUGUUCGGAAUUACUGGGCGUAAAGGGCGCGCAGGCGGCCAAGUAAGUCAGAUGUGAAAGCCCCGGGCUCAACCUGGGAAUAGCAUUUGGGACUGUUUGGCUAGAGAUCGGGAGAGGAGAGUGGAAUUCCCAGUGUAGAGGUGAAAUUCGUAGAUAUCGGGAGGAACACCAGUGGCGAAGGCGGCGACCUGGGCCAAUAUUGACGCUGAGGUGCGAAAGCGUGGGGAGCAAACAGG
rnacentral:rRNA from 1 species